AUGAAUCGCGGCAUUAGCAGAUUGAUCACCAGGAAGCUGUAGGUGUGGAACAUGUGGGUCAGGACGAAGGCAUAUGCGGCCGGAGCGGUCAGCAGGCUCUUCCACGGAAUCCUUAGCACCUGCAAGAAAAGAUCGACGUUUUUAUUUUAUGAAAAUCGGACAGCUAUAUCAAAAGGAAAAAUUCAGUAGAAAUAUCUUUAUUGUUUUUAAAGUAUAGCCUUAAAAUCGAAAUAUAGUCGCUGUAAGGAAUAUUUAAUUUUGCUUGACUCGAGCACUCACCUGCUGUGUCUGAGUCCCUAAAUGGAUGUUUCCUGGUCGCAGGUAGUCCACCUCCUCAUCCAAGAUGCGAGGAUGCUGCUGCACAGUGUCGUAGAUGAGAAAGCAGCAGGCGAUGCCAAAAACAAACGCUACCCCACCCACCACAUAGAAGGGCAGCUCCCAGCCAAAGUUGCUCAGAGAACUGGCCACCGGGUAAACCAACAUGGAUCCCAUCAGCAAA